ACAGAUAGUAGGCUUGGAAAAGUGGGAUUUUGAACAUACUCUGCAAUUAAAUGGACUGUUAAUUGGACUCAAAUGGAGAGGAUCAAGAAAUCAAGUCUCCGUUGUGUUUUUCCUGCAAAAUUAUGAGACUUAAGUAGUGCUUCAUCUACUUAUGAUAUUAUUAGCUGUAGGCUUUUUUACAGUGCUAUCCAAGUGUUCCAAACAGUAAUUUCCUGCAGCUAAGUUCUAAUUUAGAUUUAUGUGUAUAAGUUGUUUUGAUUUACACUGGCUAUUACAGUGUCUUGCAUUACAUUUACAUGUAACACAUGCACCGAUUAUAUGUGAAUGGUUGUGUAUAUACAUGAGAACUAGGGUAUUACUAUUAAAUAUGUUCUGUAUUAUCUC
rnacentral:misc_RNA from 1 species